rnacentral:ncRNA from 2 species
GGUCAUGAGCGCCAGCGUCAAGCCCCGGCUUGCUGGCCGGCAACCCUCCAACCGCGGUGGGGUGCCCCGGGUGAUGACCAGGUUGAGUAGCACCAAGCGGCUACAAGGCAAGCGCGGGUC